rnacentral:rRNA from 1 species
AACGAACGCUGGCGGCACGCCUAACACAUGCAAGUCGCGCGAGAAAGUUCUUCGGAAUGAGUACAGCGGCGCACGGGUGAGUAAUACAUCGGAACGUGCCCGAGUGUGGGGAUAACGAGGCGAAAGCUUUGCUAAUACCGCAUACGAUCUCAGGAUGAAAGCAGGGGACCGCAAGGCCUUGCGCUCACGGAGCGGCCGAUGGCAGAUUAGGUAGUUGGUGGGAUAAAAGCUUACCAAGCCGACGAUCUGUAGCUGGUCUGAGAGGACGACCAGCCACACUGGGACUGAGACACGGCCCAGACUCCUACGGGAGGCAGCAGUGGGGAAUUUUGGACAAUGGGCGCAAGCCUGAUCCAGCCAUGCCGCGUGCAGGAUGAAGGCCUUCGGGUUGU